rnacentral:rRNA from 1 species
UACGUAGGUGGCAAGCGUUGUUCGGAUUCACUGGGCGUAAAGGGUGCGUAGGCGGUCGGGUAAGUCUGAUGUGAAAUCUCACAGCUUAACUGUGAAACUGCAUUGGAUACUAUCCGGCUCGAGGAAUGGAGGGGAGACUGGAAUACUUGGUGUAGCAGUGAAAUGCGUAGAUAUCAAGUGGAACACCAGUGGCGAAGGCGAGUCUCUGGACAUUUCCUGACGCUGAGGCACGAAAGCCAGGGGAGCAAACGGG